GACGAACGCUGGCGGCGUGCCUAAUACAUGCAAGUAGAACGCACAGUUUAUACCGUAGCUUGCUACACCAUAGGCUGUGAGUUGCGAACGGGUGAGUAACGCGUAGGUAACCUGCCUGGUAGCGGGGGAUAACUAUUGGAAACGAUAGCUAAUACCGCAUAAUAUUAAUUAUUGCAUGAUAAUUAAUUGAAAGGUGCAAUUGAACCACUACCAGAUGGACCUGCGUUGUAUUAGCUAGUAGGGGAGGUAACGGCUCACCUAGGCGAAGGUACAUAGCCGACCUGGGAGGGUGGACGGCCACCCUGGGACUGGGACACGGCCCAGACGCCUACGGGAGGCAGCAGUAGGGGAACUUCGGCAAUGGACGAAAGGCUGACCGAGCAACGCCGCGGGAGUGAAGAAGGGUUUCGGAUCGUAAAGCUCUGUUGUAAGGGAAGAACGGGUGUGAGAGUGGAAAGUUCACACUGUGACGGUAUCUUACCAGAAAGGGACGGCUAACUACGUG
rnacentral:rRNA from 1 species